AGGGUUUGCUGGGGAGGGGCUGAAGGAGGGGGUACCCAGGACAAGGCACAGAGCAGGGGUGCAGCGCUCACUGCCAAGGGCAGGGUGUGCGGAGGGAGGCAGGACGCUACUGCUUGUGUGGGAGCCCCAGGG